GAAAUGCGAUAAGUAAUGUGAAUUGCAGAAUUCAGUGAAUCAUCGAAUCUUUUAACGCACCUUUCGCUCCUUGGUAUUCCUUGGAGCAUGCCUGUUUGAGUAUCAUGAAAUCUUCAAAGUAAAUCUUUUGUUAACUCAAUUGGUUUCUACUUUGGUAUUGGAGGUCUUUGCAGCUUCACACCUGCUCCUCUUUGUUCAUUAGCUGGAUCUCAGUGUUAUGCUUGGUUCCACUCGGCGUGAUAAGUUAUCUAUCGCUGAGGACACUGUAAAAGGUGGCCAAGGUAAAUGCAGAUGAACCGCUUCUAAUAGUCCAUUGACUUGGACAAUACUUUUAUGAUCUGAUCUCAAAUCAGGUAGGACUACCCGCUGAACUUAAGC
rnacentral:misc_RNA from 1 species